UACAUGGGGUGCAAACGUUGCUCGGAAUUAUUGGGCGUAAAGCGCACGUAGGCGGUUCGUUAAGUCGGAUGUGAAAGCCCUCGCUCAACUGAGGAAGUGCACCCGAAACUGGCGAGCUUGAGGGAGACAGAGGUGAGCGGAACUUAGGGUGGAGCGGUGAAAUGCGUUGAUAUCCUAAGGAACACCGGUGGCGAAAGCGGCUCACUGGGUCUCUUCUGACGCUGAGGCACGAAAGCCAGGGGAGCAAACGGG
rnacentral:rRNA from 1 species